rnacentral:misc_RNA from 1 species
AGCGUCCGAUCCCUUCUCUUUCCUCUUUCACCUCCCUAUCCAAUCCUUAUUAUUCUCUGGCGCCCUUUUCCAAAGCUCUCCUAGCUAGGGUCUGAGGAUGGCGGAGGAGGCACCAACGGCGAGCCCAGGCGGAGGCAGCCGCGAGGGGGGCGAGCAUAGCCCCCGCUCCAAAUCCACUAAUGUCCGUGAGCAAGAGAGGUAUCUUCCUAUUGCUAAUAUUAGCCGGAUCAUGAAGAAGGC